AUCCUGGCUCAGAAUCAACGCUGGCGGCGUGCCUAACACAUGCAAGUCGAGCGCGAAAGGGGAGCAAUCCCCGAGUAGAGCGGCGAACGGGUGAGUAACGCGUGGGUAAUCUACCUUCGAGUGGGGAAUAACCCCGGGAAACUGGGGCUAAUACCGCAUCACAUCGUCGGCUCUUCGGAGCUGACGAUCAAAGCCGGGGACCGAAAGGCCUGGCGCUUGAAGACGAGCCCGCGUCCGAUUAGCUAGUUGGCGGGGUAAUGGCCCACCAAGGCGACGAUCGGCAGCCGGCCUGAGAGGGCGGACGGCCACACUGGGACUGAGACACGGCCCAGACUCCUACGGGAGGCAGCAGUGGGGAAUUUUUCGCAAUGGGGGAAACCCUGACGAAGCAACGCCGCGUGGAGGAUGAAGGCCUUCGGGUCGUAAACUCCUGUCGACCGGGACGAACGCUAUCCGACCCAAUACGUCGGGUAGUCGACUGUACCGGUAGAGGAAGCCACGGCUAACUCUGUGCCAGCAGCCGCGGUAAUACAGAGGUGGCAAGCGUUGUUCGGAAUUACUGGGCGUAAAGGGCGCGUAGGCGGUCUUCUAAGUUCCGUGUGAAAUCCCUCGGCUCAACUGGGGAACUGCACGGAAAACUGGAAGGCUUGAGUUCGGGAGAGGGAAGCGGAAUUCCGGGUGUAGCGGUGA
rnacentral:rRNA from 1 species